GACAGAGGGUGCAAACGUUGCCCGGAAUCACUGGGCGUAAAGGGCGUGUAGGCGGGCAGGAAAGUCAGAUGUGAAAUCCCUGGGCUCAACCCAGGAACUGCAUUUGAAACUCCCUUUCUUGAGUACCGGAGAGGAAGGUGGAAUACCUGGUGUAGAGGUGAAAUUCGUAGAUAUCAGGUGGAACACCAGUGGCGAAGGCGGCCUUCUGGACGGUAACUGACGCUGAGACGCGAAAGCGUGGGGAGCAAACAGG
rnacentral:rRNA from 1 species